AAGCCUGUCCCAGUUCGGACUGGAGUCUGCAACCCGACUCCACGAAGUUGGAUUCGCUAGUAAUCGCGCAUCAGCCAUGGCGCGGUGAAUACGUUCCCGGGCCUUGUACACACCGCCCGUCACACCAUGAGAGUCGGGAACACCCGAAGUCCGUAGCCUAACAGCAAGUGGGGGCGCGGCCGAAGGUGGGUUCGAUAAUUGGGGUGAAGUCGUAACAAGGUAUC
rnacentral:rRNA from 1 species